rnacentral:lncRNA from 1 species
AUUACCACCAAAUUCUGCAAUCCUUGUCAAAAUUAAUAAAUAUACACAUUUGUGUAAAAUUAUGUACAAUUUUAUACUAAUGUGUGGAACAGAAUACAGAUACAUUUGUGAAUUCGGUGGAAGUAACAUGUAAGGUCAAGAUGAUGUGACCAUGUGAACGUUCCACAUCAUCAAUACAGCUUAUUAAGAAUUUAAAAAUAGGGUAACAUUGGAGGUGAAAACAUUUGUGUAACCCGCAAAAGGAGGUUCAAUCAUGAAUGGUCCUCUUAUUGAUUCCAGAUUGUUAAAUGUUUCCCACUCAAGUCUUUUCUUCCCGGAAAUUCGAGGUUUGUGCUCGCUUCUUAACGUACGCAGGUCUCAUUCAUAGAGAAAAAUGGCUGACUGAAACAUAUUACAGUAUUUGCUCUCAGUAUCGUGGUGAAAUUUUUGAUUCUCAAUUAACUCUCUUCUGGAUUAAAGAUUGAUUUCUCUGAGAAAUUGAGAACCAGUAACAGCAAAGGAAUUCAAUACUGAUACUGUGUAUUGAAAAGUAUUCAGCAUGGAAGCUUGCUGUGCUUAUGGGUGCACAAACAGAUCUUGAAAACUGAUUCCAGGCAUAUUAUUUCACAGGAAUUGCCAGUGCUUCAAAGCAGUGUAUGGGGUAAACCAGUUAAGGCCUCUCUUACUUCCUACCUCCAUGGAAUUAAUGGAGUUUUCAAAUGGGAAACCUACCUGGCAGAAUGCUUCGAUCUAUAUUUCUACAAUAAAAUAUUGGACUCUGAAACUGAAAAAAAUUGAAAGUGAAAAGGACAUUUAAAGAUUUUAACGUAAAAUGCCAAAACGAAAUUAAUAGCCCUUCUGGGCGAACAUCGUUUGGGCUAAAAAAAGAAAAGGAAAGGAAAGAGACAUCUUCGGAAGCAGCAAUAGAAGGUGACUGUAUAGAAGUCUGUUCAGAGGAAGAGGAGAUGAACAUAUUCCUUUAAUCUGCGAAACUAGUGCCAAAUAGAGUAAGGUGAAAAGCUUCAUAUAGUAAUCAUAUCCUGGUAAAGCAGUAGCCAUCUGCAGCAAAGCAUUUUUAAUGGCAAUGUGAUGUUCUGCUUUAGAAGCAUCUUAAAGCGUAGACAGCAUAAAUGGACAAAUUGUGAGUGAAACAUUGGACCAUUGAGCCUCAAGAGGAAUCAAGUAAAAUUAUACAUAAAGUACUGCCAUAAAUUUUAAAUAAAAAAUCAUUUGUGGUCUAGGAAUGAAUUAAUCUAUUUUACAUAAAUUCUUGUGCGGAAAAUAAUUUCGGUUUGUGAACAUUUGGGAUGACGUAUUGCCUUGCAUGACAUACACACAUAGUUGACAAAAUGAUGCCAAAGCAGCUACAUUAACAUUUCCACCUUGUCAUAAGCCAUCUGCAUCAUUCUGGUGAAUGCAUUAUCACAGCGUAUGAAUGCUAAUAAUGUUUUUGAUGAUCAUCAUAUUCUUUAAUUAAAAUUUUUUUUUAACUUGCAUAUACUGUUGGAAUGAUGCCAUAGGACAAUUUAUAUUUCUAAUUUUUAGACAAUUCAUUAUUAAAAACAUUAGUCUAUUGGGACCUCAUUUUGUAUGUCAUUUGCUUUUUGAUAUGGAAAUACGGUACUCUACCAAAUCUAUAAUAGCAUCAGUGCUUCAGAUGAUAAAGCUGUCAUUAAUAUUCUUUUAGUACUUUGUACAAUAUCUAAAUGUGAAGUUCAUAUACAUAUGAAUUUGCUGAAUCCUGUUUUUAAUAUUAUUGAAUCUAAUAGAGGGUUAAAAUGCUAUCUUGUUGUUUCCAAGGGAAAAAUUUUGCUGUAAGCUACAAGAGGUCAGGAAAAUUAUUUUGUGCUGUAUUAAAGGAAAAGAACUGCUUAUUUAUCAGAAUUGCUUAUUUAUGAUAUGCAGUCUCUAAUUAGACUAUCUGAAUUUUGAUAAAUUUUAUUCUAUGUAAAUUCACGCAAAAUGUUUUCAAAAAGAAUUAUUUAAUUAAUAAAAUCCCAUUUCUGUUAGAUUGUAUUUUAUAUUCUCUUUGUAUGUAAAAUGUUAUCUAAGGAACAUUUUAAUGUUUGUGUGUAGAUACUACUUUUCAAAAUAUUUAUUUUUAUUUUGUUGUUUUUAACCAUACAUUGUAUUUGAAGGGGAACAUUUGAUGCUGUUUGUACUGUGCAUAUUUACUGUUUGUACAAUAUUUUUAUAAAGUUUAUUAAAUUAAAAUAUAGAUGUUGUAAAGUAA